GAAUGGCCGCAGUAUUUUAACUGUGCAAAGGUAGCAUAAUCAUUAGUCUUUUAAUUGAAGGCUUGUAUGAAUGGUUGGACGAAAUAUUAACUGUUUCAUAAAAAUUAAUUUAGAAUUUUAUUUUUUAGUUAAAAAGCUAAAAUAGUUUUAAAAGACGAGAAGACCCUAUAGAUCUUUAUAUUUUGUAAUUUAUAGUUAUGUAGAUUAUUUAAAUUAUGAAUAUAUAAAUUAUUUUGUUGGGGUGACAUUAAAAUUUAAUUAACUUUUAAUUUAUUAUUACAUUAAUUUAUGUUUAUUUGAUCCAUUAAUAAUGAUUAAAAAAUUAAGUUACCUUAGGGAUAACAGCGUAAUUUUUUUGGAGAGUUCUUAUCGAUAAAAAAGAUUGCGACCUCGAUGUUGGAUUAAGAUAUAAUUUUGGGUGCAGCAAUUCAAUUAUUAAGUC
rnacentral:rRNA from 1 species